GAUCCCCUUGAUUCUUGCCUCCAAUUCAUAUACUCUUGCCUCUUAUAAUUCCCCAAACCCAUCAUAUUUUCUGCCCUCAUUAAGCAAAUACAUCUCCUUCUUUCACCUUGUUUCUUUUCCCAUUCACCGUGGGAAUCAUUCACAAAAAGUAUUUUCACUCUUCCUUCUUUCACCUCCUUAAUACAUCUCCUUCUUCCUCAAUUCUUGUGAGAUUGUUGCUUGGUUUUAUUGUUAGAAGGAUCAUCUUACUUUCCCUCUUAAUUUGGUUGAGAAAAUAAGUUUUCAAGUUCAUAAAGAGGACUAGUUCAUUUUGAGUUCCUAUAGUUUCUUUGGUUUUAUCGGAAUUUUAUCGAGGUGAAGAGUAGUUCCUGAUGAGUCUGGGCUGAGAGUAGAGUGUUUAUUUUAUUUAUUGGUUUUAUAGACUUGCUUUAAUUAUCUUUGGACCUUCUCUUUUGGGAUUAUCAUAUUUGAGGAUUGUUUUCUCUUGUUGGAAGUGUUUAUUGUUCAUUUGGGAUUUCUUUCACUUUACUUUAUUUAUCUCAGAUAUUUUAAUCAAUGUCUUAUUUCUUUUUUUUUAUUAACCUUUAGAGUGACAUUUUCGUCUCAACGUUAUUUCCGCUAAUGUCAUGCCUUAUGUGUUGUAUAUUUGGAGUAACACUCGAAAUACACAAGGGAUAAACCAAGGGAUAGUUAA